UACGUAGGGUGCAAGCGUUAAUCGGAAUUAUUGGGCGUAAAGAGCUCGUAGGCGGUCUGUCACGUCGGCUGUGAAAACCCGAGGCUCAACCUCGGGCCUGCAGUCGAUACGGGCAAACUAGAGUACUGCAGGGGAGACUGGAAUUCCUGGAGUAGCGGUGAAAUGCGCAGAUAUCAGGAGGAACACCGGUGGCGAAGGCGGGUCUCUGGGCAGUAACUGACGCUGAGGAGCGAAAGCGUGGGGAGCGAACAGG
rnacentral:rRNA from 1 species